AUUGAACGCUGGCGGCAGGCUUAACACAUGCAAGUCGAACGAUGACUCUCUAGCUUGCUAGAGAAGAUUAGUGGCGGACGGGUGAGUAACAUUUAGGAAUCUGCCUAGUAGUGGGGGAUAGCUCGGGGAAACUCGAAUUAAUACCGCAUACGACCUACGGGUGAAAGGGGGCGCAAGCUCUUGCUAUUAGAUGAGCCUAAAUCAGAUUAGCUAGUUGGUGGGGUAAAGGCCCACCAAGGCGACGAUCUGUAACUGGUCUGAGGGGAUGAUCAGUCACACCGGAACUGAGACACGGUCCGGACUCCUACGGGAGGCAGCAGUGGGGAAUAUUGGACAAUGGGGGCAACCCUGAUCCAGCCAUGCCGCGUGUGUGAAGAAGGCCUUUUGGUUGUAAAGCACUUUAAGCAGGGAGGAGAGGCUAAUGGUUAAUACCCAUUAGAUUAGACGUUACCUGCAGAAUAAGCACCGGCUAACUCUGUGCCAGCAGCCGCGGUAAUACAGAGGGUGCGAGCGUUAAUCGGAAUUACUGGGCGUAAAGCGAGUGUAGGUGGCUCAUUAAGUCACAUGUGGAAUCCCCGGGCUUAACCUGGGAACUGCAUGUGAUACUGGUGGUGCUAGAAUAUGUGAGAGGGAAGUAGAAUUCCAGGUGUAGCGGUGAAAUGCGUAGAGAUCUGGAGGAAUACCGAUGGCGAAGGCAGCUUCCUGGCAUAAUAUUGACACUGAGAUUCGAAAGCGUGGGUAGCAAACAGGAUUAGAUACCCUGGUAGUCCACGCCGUAAACGAUGUCUACUAGCCGUUGGGGUCCUUGAGACUUUAGUGGCGCAGUUAACGCGAUAAGUAGACCGCCUGGGGAGUACGGCCGCAAGGUUAAAACUCAAAUGAAUUGACGGGGGCCCGCACAAGCGGUGGAGCAUGUGGUUUAAUUCGAUGCAACGCGAAGAACCUUACCUGGUCUUGACAUAGUGAGAAUCCUGCAGAGAUGCGGGAGUGCCUUCGGGAAUUCACAUACAGGUGCUGCAUGGCUGUCGUCAGCUCGUGUCGUGAGAUGUUGGGUUAAGUCCCGCAACGAGCGCAACCCUUUUCCUUAUUUGCCAGCGGGUUAAGCCGGGAACUUUAAGGAUACUGCCAGUGACAAACUGGAGGAAGGCGGGGACGACGUCAAGUCAUCAUGGCCCUUACGACCAGGGCUACACACGUGCUACAAUGGUAGGUACAGAGGGUUGCUACACAGCGAUGUGAUGCUAAUCUCAAAAAGCCUAUCGUAGUCCGGAUUGGAGUCUGCAACUCGACUCCAUGAAGUCGGAAUCGCUAGUAAUCGCAGAUCAGAAUGCUGCGGUGAAUACGUUCCCGGGCCU
rnacentral:rRNA from 1 species